UGCGUAGGCGGAAUGUUAAGUCAGUGGUGAAAUCCUACAGCUCAACUGUAGAACUGCCAUUGAAACUAUCAUUCUUGAGUACAAUUGAAGUGGGCGGAAUGUGUUAUGUAGCGGUGAAAUGCAUAGAUAUGACACAGAACACCAAUCGCGAAGGCAGCUCACUAAAUUGAAACUGACGCUGAGGCACGAAAGCGUGGGGAGCAAACAGGAUUAGAUACCCUGGUAGUCC
rnacentral:rRNA from 1 species